GACGAACGCUGGCGGCGUGCUUAACACAUGCAAGUCGAACGGAAAGGCCCUGCUUUUGUGGGGUGCUCGAGUGGCGAACGGGUGAGUAACACGUGAGUAACCUGCCCUUGACUUUGGGAUAACUUCAGGAAACUGGGGCUAAUACCGGAUAUGAGCUCCUGCUGCAUGGUGGGGGUUGGAAAGUUUCGGCGGUUGGGGAUGGACUCGCGGCUUAUCAGCUUGUUGGUGGGGUAGUGGCUUACCAAGGCUUUGACGGGUAGCCGGCCUGAGAGGGUGAACGGCCACAUUGGGACUGAGAUACGGCCCAGAAUCCUACGGGAGGCAGCAGUGGGGAAUAUUGCACAAUGGGCGGAAGCCUGAUGCAGCAACGCCGCGUGCGGGAUGACGGCCUUCGGGUUGUAAACCGCUUUCGCCUGUGACGAAGCGUGAGUGACGGUAAUGGGUAAAGAAGCACCGGCUAACUACGUG
rnacentral:rRNA from 1 species